AUUGAACGCUGGCGGCAGGCCUAACACAUGCAAGUCGAACGAGUGGCGGACGGGUGAGUAAUGUCUGGGAAACUGCCUGAUGGAGGGGGAUAACUACUGGAAACGGUAGCUAAUACCGCAUACUUAUAGAUGUAUCCGCGCGGCAUUAGCUAGUUGGUGUGGUAACGGCUCACCUAGGCGACGAUCCCUAGCUGGUCUGAGAGGAUGACCAGCCACACUGGAACUGAGACACGGUCCAGACUCCUACGGGAGGCAGCAGUGGGGAAUAUUGCACAAUGGGCGCAAGCCUGAUGCAGCCAUGCCGCGUGUAUGAAGAAGGCCUUCGGGUUGUAAAGUACUUUCAGCGGGGAGGCGUUACCCGCAGAAGAAGCACCGGCUAACUCCGUGCCAGCAGCCGCGGUAAUAC
rnacentral:rRNA from 1 species